GCAGCAGUGGGGAUAUUGCACAAUGGGCGCAAGCCUGAUGCAGCGACGCCGCGUGGGGGAUGAAGGCCUUCGGGUUGUAAACUCCUUUCAGCCAUGACGAAGCUGGCCUUGUUGGGUCAGUGACGGUAGUGGUAGAAGAAGCACCGGCUAACUACGUGCCAGCAGCCGCGGUAAUACGUAGGGUGCGAGCGUUGUCCGGAAUUACUGGGCGUAAAGAGCUCGUAGGUGGUUUGUCACGUCGUCUGUGAAAUUCCGGGGCUUAACUCCGGGCGUGCAGGCGAUACGGGCAUAACUUGAGUACUGUAGGGGAGACUGGAAUUCCUGGUGUAGCGGUGAAAUGCGCAGAUAUCAGGAGGAACACCGAUGGCGAAGGCAGGUCUCUGGGCAGUUACUGACGCUGAGGAGCGAAAGCAUGGGUAGCGAACAGGAUUAGAUACCCUGGUAGUCCAUGCCGUAAACGGUGGGCGCUAGGUGUGGGGGUCUUCCACGACUUCCGUGCCGUAGCUAACGCAUUAAGCGCCCCGCCUGGGGAGUACGGCCGCAAGGCUAAAACUCAAAGGAAUUGACGGGGGCCC
rnacentral:rRNA from 1 species